CAGGGCUUGACAUCCCUUGACAGUCCUAGAGAUAGGAUAUCCCUUCGGGGCAAGGAGACAGGUGGUGCAUGGUUGUCGUCAGCUCGUGUCGUGAGAUGUUGGGUUAAGUCCCGCAACGAGCGCAACCCCUGUUGUUAGUUGCCAGCAUUAAGUUGGGCACUCUAGCGAGACUGCCGGUGACAAAUCGGAGGAAGGUGGGGACGACGUCAAAUCAUCAUGCCCCUUAUGUCCUGGGCUACACACGUACUACAAUGGCUGUUACAGAGGGCAGCUAAGCCGCGAGGUGGAGCAAAUCCCUAAAAGCAGCCCCAGUUCGGAUUGCAGGCUGAAACUCGCCUGCAUGAAGUCGGAAUUGCUAGUAAUGGCAGGUCAGCAUACUGCCGUGAAUACGUUCCCGGGCCUUGUACACACCGCCCGUCACACCAUGAGAGUCGGCAACACCCGAAGUCAGUAGUUUAACCGCAAGGAGAACGCUGCCGAAGGUGGGGCUGAUGAUUGGGGUG
rnacentral:rRNA from 1 species